CAGUAGCCGCGGUAAUACGUAGGGUGCGAGCGUUAAUCGGAAUUACUGGGCGUAAAGCGUGCGCAGGCGGUUGUGUAAGACAGGUGUGAAAUCCCCGGGCUUAACCUGGGAACUGCAUUUGUGACUGGCGAGCUAGAGUAUGGCAGAGGGGGGUAGAAUUCCACGUGUAGCAGUGAAAUGCGUAGAGAUGUGGAGGAAUACCGAUGGCGAAGGCAGCCCCCUGGGCCAAUACUGACGCUCAUGCACGAAAGCGUGGGGAGCAAACAGGAUUAGAUACCCCAGUAGUCCCUGUCUCUUAUAA
rnacentral:rRNA from 1 species